AUUGAACGCUGGCGGCAGGCCUAACACAUGCAAGUCGAACGAGUGGCGGACGGGUGAGUAAUGUCUGGGAAACUGCCCGAUGGAGGGGGAUAACUACUGGAAACGGUAGCUAAUACCGCAUACCAUCGGAUGUGCCCAGAUGGGAUUAGCUUGUAGGUGGGGUAACGGCUCACCUAGGCGACGAUCCCUAGCUGGUCUGAGAGGAUGACCAGCCACGCUGGAACUGAGACAAGGGCCAGACUCCUACGGGAGGCAGCAGUGGGGAAUAGUGCACAAUGGGCGCAAGCCUGAUGCAGCCAUGCCGCGUGUAUGAAGAAGGCCUUCGGGUUGGAAAGUACUUUCAGCGAGGAGGCGUUACUCGCAGAAGAAGCACCGGCUAACUACGUGCCAGCAGCCGCGGUAAUAC
rnacentral:rRNA from 1 species